GCGUUCGUAGCUCAGCUGGAUAGAGCACUGGUUUGCGGUACCAGCGGUCAGGGGUUCGAAUCCCUUCGGGCGCACCA
rnacentral:tRNA from 1 species